UACGUAGGGGGCAAGCGUUGUCCGGAUUUAUUGGGCGUAAAGAGCGUGUAGGCGGCCAGGUAGGUCAGCUGUGAAAACUCGAGGCUCAACCUCGAGACGUCGGUUGAAACCACCUGGCUAGAGUCCGGAAGAGGAGAGUGGAAUUCCUGGUGUAGCGGUGAAAUGCGCAGAUAUCAGGAAGAACACCCGUGGCGAAGGCGGCUCUCUGAGACGGUACUGACGCUGAGACGCGAAAGCGUGGGGAGCGAACAGG
rnacentral:rRNA from 1 species